rnacentral:rRNA from 1 species
UACGGAGGGGGCUAGCGUUGUUCGGAAUCACUGGGCGUAAAGCGCACGUAGGCGGCGCGGUAAGUCAGGGGUGAAAGCCUGGAGCUCAACUCCAGAACCGCCUUUGAUACUGGUGUUCUAGAGGGUGGGAGAGGCUGGUGGAACUCCGAGUGUAGAGGUGAAAUGCGUAGAUAUGCGGAAGAACACCGGUGGCGAAGGCGGCCUACUAGCCCAUUCCUGACGCUGAGGUGCGAAAGCGUGGGGAGCAAACAGG